GCGUCACUGUUUCACAUAAUGGCAUUAUCAAAAUGUGGCGAUGGACAGUUUUAUGGUAGUAAUUAGAAUCAAAUUUAUGAAAAAGUAGACCCCCGCAAGACAAAUCUUGGGGAAGGCUCUAUCUGAGGAGGAGGUUGUCGUCCUAUCCGCUAACGUGGAGGAGGCGGGGAUUAUGGGCUGUCCUGCGGCCGGACACCAGUGGGCGAUUCAGCGAAGCCAUUUGUAAUGUAACUACUCGGCACCGCAAUGGAGGGGCUCAGCCGGGCUCCGCUUGCUGAUCACACUUUGAUGACAAGAGGAGUCGGAUUAACGGGAAUCAUGGCGGAGAGGAACCAGGACCAGCAGACCAUAAACCUAGAGACCAGCGACGGAGGGCAGCGCUCCGAAGCUCCCAACGAGCUCCAGUUUCCCAGCAUGCCCUGGCUCUGGUGGUGGAGGUGAAUGAGGAGGAAGACUAUGUCCUGCUGCCCUGUCAGUACUCCGGUAUCAUACCUGAGACAAAUCCCACUGUGACGUGGACUCGCAACGAUCUUGAUCUGAAAUCUAUUCACC
ensembl:lncRNA